CCUACGGGAGGCAGCAGUGAGGAAUAUUGGUCAAUGGCCGGAAGGCUGAACCAGCCAUGCCGCGUGAGGGUCAGUGCCCUUUGGGCGUUAAACCUCUUUUGUUCGGGAGCAAUAAUGACCACGUGUUGACCGACGAGAGUACCGUACGAAUAAGCAUCGGCUAACUCCGUGCCAUCAGCCGGUGUAAUACGGUGGAUGCAAGCGUUAGUCGUAAUUAGUGGGUCUAAAGGGUGCUUAGUCUGUAAGGAAAGUCGGCGGGGAAAUGCCCCGGCUCAACGGGGUGAAGGGCCAUUGAUACUGCCUGGCUGGAGUGAGGGUGCGGGAGGAGGAAUGUGUGGUGUAGCAGUGAAAUGCAUAGAUAUC
rnacentral:rRNA from 1 species